UACGAAGGGGGCUAGCGUUGUUCGGAAUUACUGGGCGUAAAGGGCGCGUAGGCGGUGUGUCAAGCCAGGCGUGAAAGCCCCGGGCUCAACCUGGGAACCGCGCUUGAGACUGGCACGCUCGAGUUCGGGAGAGGAUGGUGGAAUUCCCAGUGUAGAGGUGAAAUUCGUAGAUAUUGGGAAGAACACCGGUGGCGAAGGCGGUUCUCUGGGCAUGAUCUGACGCUGAGGAGCGAAAGUGUGGGGAGCGAACAGG
rnacentral:rRNA from 1 species